ensembl:ncRNA W03G1.8 ncRNA
CUUCGUGACUGGCUGCCCGUCGCCGUUCUUCUCCCAAAUAUUCACUAAAUAUUCUCUACGUUUUUGCCUCGUUUAUCCCAGCAUAAAGCUGCCCUGCUCAAUAAACUUGGAUUUUCGUCAAACUGUGUACUGUUAUUAGCACCGCUCAUCAAUUCUCCCGUUCCGUCCGUCGUCUUCUUGUCACUCCGAGGCUCUGGCUGCCAUCUCGGACCGGAGUGUCAACAGACCUGGUGGUAUUGGCAGUUUCUCACUCGAACGAAAGAGGGACAAAUCGUUUAUUGAUGCAGCUCGCUGUUCAUGCCGAAGAGAAUAAGAAAUCUGAAUUCUGGUUGCCAGUUCCAAAAAAAUUUUCAGGCGAAAAGCAAUGUAUGGACAAGAACCAAAAAUUAUUAGGAUACUGCAACGAAAUCUUCGAAUCAUUCAAAAAUAACAGACAAACAGCGUACAGUUUGACAUUCUCCUCCAAUUUCUUUGAGAACUUUGAAGAUUACACGUUCCAUAAAAUUGCUCAAACGUUUCGAGUCGAGGAUCCAGAUCGAAUUUGCGUGAACUUUGAAAGCAGACCACUAUCGAUGGAGCGUUCCGAAAAUUGUUCGGCGAAACCGAGAAAAUUGAGCGACUGAUGGGAGUGGUGAAAGAAGCGUUUGUUGCAAACGACAGUAUCAUUAGCUCGGUGAAUAAAUGGAAAUCGAUCGAAUUUCAUUGCCCUGUUGAAUCACACGUCACUGAGAAACUUUUUCAAAAAUGGACCGAAGGAUCGAAGUUGGAAAUUAUUGAAAUUCAAGAAGUGGCUCCAAGAAGCAUGGAAGCGAGAAAUUUGAUUCACAACAUUUGAAUGUACACAAAUCAUAGUUUCCUAUAACUACCAUAUAAAAGUUUGAAAAAAUAUCGCAAGAAAAAACCACAAACUUAUUUCUCACCCUAAUAGUUUCAAAUACUCUUCCUGUGUUUCCA